AGUGAACGCUGGCGGUAGGCCUAACACAUGCAAGUCGAACGGCAGCACAGUAAGAGCUUGCUCUUACGGGUGGCGAGUGGCGGACGGGUGAGGAAUACAUCGGAAUCUACUUUUUCGGGGGGGAUAACGUAGGGAAACUUACGCUAAUACCGCAUACGACCUACGGGUGAAGGCAGGGGAUCUUCGCACCUUGCGCGAUUGAAUGAGCCGAUGUCGGAUUAGCUAGUUGGCGGGGUAAAGGCCCACCAAGGCGACGAUCCGUAGCUGGUCUGAGAGGAUGAUCAGCCACACUGGAACUGAGACACGGUCCAGACUCCUACGGGAGGCAGCAGUGGGGAAUAUUGGACAAAGGGCGCAAGCCUGAUCCAGCCAUACCGCGUGGGUGAAGAAGGCCUUCGGGUUGUAAAGCCCUUUUGUUGGGAAAGAAAAGCAGCAGGUUAAUACCCCGCUGUUCUGACGGUACCCAAAGAAUAAGCACCGGCUAACUUCGUG
rnacentral:rRNA from 1 species